rnacentral:lncRNA from 1 species
CUGACAUUACUGAAUUUAAUAGCAGAGCAUUGUUUCCCAAUUUUUUGCACCUCUCCAUCAUCUCAGUAAGCAGAACCUCAGGAGCACGGUAUGCAAUACAUUGUAAAAUCCAGUCUAUAGCAGGAGAGUAGAGAGUUAAAUACAAAGGAAUUUCUACACAUUGUACUACCAGUUGAUUCUGAACUGUAUCCCCAUGAAUUUGCUUAAACGUUAGAAGAAAAUCAAAGAAAUUUUUGUUGAGGCUUUCUUUGAGCUGUGGUGCCACUUCCAU